GAGGCCGAUAGGCGUAGGCGAUGGACAACAGGUAGAGAUUCCUGUACCAGUGCUAAUUGUUUAACCGAUGGGGUGACACAGAAGGAUAGGGAAUCGCACGAAUGGAAAUGUGCGUCCAAGCAGUGAGUGUGAGAAGUAGGCAAAUCCGCUUCUCGCGAAGCAUGAGCUGUGAUGGGGAAGGAAAUUAAGUACGGAAGUUCCUGAUUUCACGCUGUCAAGAAAAGCCUCUAGGAAGAGUAGUACUGCCCGUACCGCAAACCGACACAGGUAGAUGAGGAGAGAAUCCUAAGGUGAGCGAGAGAACUCUCGUUAAGGAACUCGGCAAAAUGACCCCGUAACUUCGGGAGAAGGGGUGCUCUAUUAGGGUGCAAGCCCGAGAGAGCCGCAGUGAAUAGGCCCAGGCGACUGUUUAGCAAAAACACAGGUCUCUGCAAAACCGUAAGGUGACGUAUAGGGGCUGACGCCUGCCCGGUGCUGGAAGGUUAAGAGGAGUGCUUAGCUUCGGCGAAGGUACGAAUUGAAGCCCCAGUAAACGGCGGCCGUAACUAUAACGGUCCUAAGGUAGCGAAAUUCCUUGUCGGGUAAGUUCCGACCCGCACGAAAGGCGCAACGAUCUGGGCACUGUCUCAACGGGAGACUCGGUGAAAUUAUAGUACCUGUGAAGAUGCAGGUUACCCGCGACAGGACGGAAAGACCCCGUGGAGCUUUACUGCAACCUGAUAUGGAAUGUUUGUACCGCUUGUACAGGAUAGGUAGGAGCCGAAGAGACG
rnacentral:rRNA from 1 species